rnacentral:tRNA from 1 species
UCCCUGCCGGCUAAGACGGUAAAGAAUUUGCCUGCAAUGCAGGAGACCUGGGUUCGAUCCCUAGGUAGGGAA